rnacentral:tRNA from 4 species
GCCAGCUUAGCUCAGUUGGUAGAGCAACGCACUCGUAACGCGUAGGUCGUAGGUUCGAACCCUGCAGCUGGCA